GACUUUGUUCUAUUUUAUUUCCACAUUCAACCUGCGAAUACAGCAAUAAAUACAUUGCGCUGUUAUCAAUAAAAAAUAUAAAAAAGCAAUUGCCUAUCUUUAUCUUAUCAUUGGAAAAAUUUAAGUAACAAGGUAAUAAACAGUAUAGAAAUAUAGUUAAAGCUAUAGAUAUAUACCAACCAUAUGAUGUUGGUGUAUAAGGUAUAUUUUUAGGUAUUUCUAAUUUCACAUUAGUUCACUUGCUAUCUUCAGAUAGAUUAACCAUGCAAGUUUCGUGCGGUUAAUAACGUAUUAUAUUACAUGCGGGCGAUUAUUCUAACGACGACAAUACUAACUUCAGUGUUACAUUAAGUGGGGCCCAUGCCAAUGUGUUCAUAACUGGAUAUUUACUAUUAAGUUUUAA